GUGGGGCAAACACCUGCAGACAUGAGCAGCUCUGCAGUCACCAGCCCUUCAUACCUUUUGUGGGAGCAACAAAUUAAUCCACAAGGAGCUCACAUGCAGGAGCAGUGGAUACAACCAGAGCUCUCUAGCUCUGAAGUAAACUGUAAAUGACUAAUUAAAGGCCAAAUAGUAUUACCAUUACUCAUGUUGCCUGGUAUGUUCUGCUGUGAGUGGUCCCUUUGGCUUCAAUUAGUUGCUAUCCUGAUGGGUGCUGACUAAAUAGCAGCUCAUUACCCCACCUGAGGUGAGCAAUUCAGGACUCUGAAAAGUCUCAAUACUACACUUCUUGUUUGAGAAGUCUGCUUUUUCCUGGAGACAAAUGCUGUGAGCCACACCUGCAUGAGUCCUCAGCAGGACCUAGAGGAGAAGCUGGCUUGGGCACAUCCUCAACAGAGAGGCUCUGAAGUUCAUGGAGUGCCAUCCCUCACCUCCUGCAAGUUGCCCCCACUGCCACCAGGCUUUGGUGGCUGAAUUAUGGCCUGGGGGAGCACACUGGAGAAAACAUUUUUGAUGUUUCAAUUUUAAAGAGAGACAGGGAGAUGCUGCAAUGUCAAUUACAGCAGAGUUUGUGUGCUCAGAAACCUCCCAAAGAGGGAUUUUAGAGCUGCUCUCAUCUUACAUACGCCCUCCGCACAGGGCUGUGUGUGUGUCAAACAGUCCAAAACAAAAAUACCCCAAAUAUAUAUAACCCCCCAGCAAUAAAAAAGUCAUAAGAAUCAGCUGUUAUUUUUCAUUUCAUAGCUUUUUAGAAGCUCAGUAGAAGUUUGUGGGGUAUUUGUUUUUAAAUGGCUUCUUGUAGCACAUUAAAGACACCAGAUGCUUUGUAUUUAUUACACAGCCAUCCCAGCUUGCAUGGGAACAAGACAUUAUUUUGUGAAGUUUUUCUUCUAAUAUCUCUAUUUAU